UACGGGAGGGGCAAGUGUUAUUCAGAAUGACUGGGCGUAAAGAGCGUGUAGGUGGCUUGGUUACAGGUUUAAUUUUAUAAGGUAAAAGUAGAGGGCUCAACCCUGCUAGUCCCUAUAAUAUUACUAGGCUUGAGUACUUGUUAGGAUUUUAGAACUUUUGCUGUAGCUUUAAUAUGCGUAAAAAGCAAGAAGAAUGCCACCACGAAGGUAGAAAUCUAGCUCGAUACUGACACUGAGGCGCGAAAGCGUGGGGAGCAAAGCGG
rnacentral:rRNA from 1 species